UACGGAGGAUCCUUGUAAGAACUCAGUUAACAACUUUCAUCAUCUCCAUUUCCUCCGUUCUCAACCCAAACAAUCAAAUAUCACGAAUUGAAUUUCCAUUGCCAUCCAAUAGUCAAGCACUAAACCCCCAUGAGUGGUUUGUAACCGGUAGUCAAACUCCUAAAUGCUACCAUUAUAAUCAGAGCUGUGAUCUUCGUCUUCCUUUACUUAUUUGCUGGAGUUUCAGAACCUGGGCACUCUUUAAUUCACUCGAAACUGUGAAGGAUAAAUCACUGGUUAGUGUACAAGUAAGUUUCCAGUGAUGAAAGUUACUGUAUUUUUUUCUUCAAUUAUGUGUUAAUCGAGGCAAUUAGAGAUGUCUUUACAUUAAUACCGUGGUGAUUUUAUGUUUUUAGGAAUUUUGUGCUUUUAAGUUGAAGCGAGUAGUCGGAUUGUGUUGUCAUUCCAUUGUUUUUAUUUCACAACUCGCCUGAUCAUGAGAAAUUGAUGGCUUGGCGAUCGUGCUUUCAUAAAUUUUAUGUUCCUCCGACGAGCUAUCUUGGUAUCUUAAUGCCCUUGUCUCUGGAAUUUAGUUCAAACUUCCUUUUCCGUGCAAUAGCUUCAAAUUUUCUUGAACAUUGUCGAAAUACCAAUUGCUUUUCUCUACUAUAUUCUCGUUCAAAAAUGUGGAAUUAGAUUUUUUAAGCGACAUAUGAACUUCUCUCCUGAAAAAGAAAGCACUAGUUGAGAUUUAUUUUUUCCUUCUGGUGAAGGGGAUCACCUUUGCCUCUCCUGCGAUAUCUUUUCCAAUAUGAAUGAGUUCUGUCUUUUCUUUUUUUGCGCCUGUUGAUGGUUUUCUAUAGUAUGUAUAUAGAUAGGCGACAAAAAUUAAAAGGAAAAUUCUAGUUUAUGUUAAACAACUAUCAUCUCAUAGCUUAAGCUAUUAGAAAAGAACCAAAAUUUCUUAAUAAGUAUGUCUUGAGCAAUUCUUGUCACAUGUAGGGUAGAUUAAUUUUUUCAUCACAGGUUCAACAAGUGGAUUUUCCAUAAUUGGGCAGUGGUGCCACUUGAACUCAAGUAUGCAAUACUAUGUUAAACCAUCUUAUUAAAAAACGCUGAAGGUGAGAUGGUUCAACAGUUAAUCUGUUAAAGCAUUGUCUCCAUCAGCAAUGAAAAAUUCGGGUUUUAAUGUUCCAGACCUCAACGUAAAAAUGAUAAAAUUCCAUGUUGGUCUUGUCUAUGCUGCUCCUAUUCUUCUUGCAAAUUUAGUCUCUUUUUUCCAAUUUCAGGUUUUGGAACUUGGAAGAUGGCUGAAGAUCUGGAGAAACCGUUAUUAGGUCCUGAAAAUUUCAAUAAAGAGGGGAUUGAUCUGGUAGAUGGCCAAUACAUGCACGUCCCCCUUAGCUUCUUGUCACUCCGCAAUAGCAACUAAGCCAUGCAAUUUAUGGUCUCAACAGGAGCGCUUGCCACUAGAACAAGUUUUUGAACAACUAAAAAGUCACAAGCAGGACUAUCAUUGGAAGAUGCGGAGAUACGCUUAAAAAUAUUUGGCCCAAACAAGCUUGAAGAGAAUCCAGUGAGUUCUUGUAUGAGAAAAAAUAAAAAAAAUUGAGACACCAUCUGUCAAAGCAAGAGUGCAGGAUUCCACCGUCAUUCAUAUUUGUCUACAUUUUUUUUUACUGAAACUGGAAGAUCAAGAAUAUAUUUCAUAUCUGUAAAAAAAGGUAGUGCAGCACAGAAUGUUGAAUCUGCUUGUUGAGGAUAUGAGAUACAGUUUCUCACUCGUUCAAUUACUAGAAUGUACUCGUCUUCAAGAAAUAGUCAUCCUGUAUAAUUUAUGAAGUUUUUUUAACUUAGACCUUGUCAUUAUCCAAGGAAGUCUUCCUGAGAUGCCUGGGAUAUACUUACUCUGUUAGUAAUACAAUGACAGGAUAAUGAGCUGUUAACGGAAAGAAAGAUUACAUUACCAUCUUUAUGUGAUUGUAUUUUGGAAUAAUCGUAUAUUACUAUAUUAGGUCAAUUACUUACCAUAGAUGUAUAUUUCAAUUUCUAUAUAAAGGGAGAAUCCCAAAAAGGGACGAUAUUCAGCCUUUGAAAGUUAACAUGGUAUCAGAGCUUACCCAUAAAAUUGAUUGCUGAAUCUUUGAGUUUCUGUCGUCGAUGUGGUUUCUCGAGUUGAAUCUUCUUGGUUGACCAAUCGGUGGUCGACGUCUUUGUUGGUGCAGAUCGUCAUCUUCAGCAUGGGAGUUGUGGUGUUCUGUUGUAGCGUGAGGCGAUUGUGACUGUAUCUUCACCUGUGGGAGUCGGUUACGUGGUUGCGUUUGGUGGGUAAUCGGAGUUGAAUCGUUGGUGACUGUGAGGACGAUUGAAGCGUCACUGUGGUUUCUCCGAUGCGUCUCUGCCUUUCUGGUUACCUGGGUUGUCUUUAUCUUGGGCCUAGUGGUGGUGUCUGCUUCGUUGGUUCGUUGAUUGGGUUUUGUGUGUGAGGCCCAAUUGUGAUUUGUUUAUUUAUUUGGGCUAUUAACUCUAGUGUGUGGACUGUCCUUUUGAUUGGAAUUUUUUUUAGUUGAGCUAUUGUCCUACUAUACAGGGCUAUGUCGGUUGAAGCCUUUUGUGUUAAAUUUACAGGACAGAAUUACCCCGUAUGGGAAUUCCAAUUCAAGAUGUUUUUAAAAGAGAAGGAACUUUGGGGCCAUAUUAAUGGGUCCACUAGAGCGCCUGAGGAUGUUAAAGAUCUCAGUGCAUGGGAAACGAAAGAUGCUCGAAUUAUUUCUUGGAUUUUGGGAUCUAUGGAAGCACAUAUGGUGAAUAAUUUACAAUCUUUCACUACUGCUAAGGAAAUGUGGGAAUAUUUAAGACGAAUUUAUUAUCAGGACAACAAUGCACGGCGAUUUCAGUUGGAGUUAGAGAUUGCCAACUAUACGCAAGGCAAUCUCACCAUAGAGCAAUAUUAAUCUGGUUUUCUGAGCUUGUGGAGUGAGUACUCCAACAUAAUUCAUGCUAAGAUGCCUAUAGCGGCUCUUUCAGCUCUCCAAGAGGUUCAAGAAGUUCGUAAGCGAGAUCAGUUUCUUAUGAAAUUACGACCUAAAUUUGAAGUUGCUAGGGUAAAUUUAUUGAAUCGCGAUCCGGUUCCCUCUUUGGAUAUAUGCUUGGGUGAACUUCUACGUGAGGAGCAAUGAUUGACUACAAAAACUACUAUAGGAGCCGAUAUAUCUUCUGAUGUGGUGAAUGUUGCAUAUGCGGCGCAAGGACGGGGAAAAGGUAAACUUCAGUGUUUCUACUGUAAAGGAUAUGGUCAUAUUGCUCGCAAUUGUCCUUAGAAAAUUUGCAAUUACUGUAAGCAACCGGGCACCUCAUCAAGGAUUGUACCUUACGAGCUCCAAAUCGAAAAGCUCAGGCAUUUCAGGCUAAUGUUCAAGGACCUACUCCCACGAUCCCAAGCAAGUACUAGUCAGCCAGUCCUUACCCCAGAAAUGGUUCAACAAAUGAUUGUUUUUGCCUUCUCUGCCUUGGGCUUACAAGGUAAAGACCAAGUUAUCUCUUCUCCUUGGUUUGUUGAUUCGGGGGCGUCAAAUCAUAUGACAGGUGGUUCUAAUUCAUUGCAUAACAGCAAACGUUAUACUGGCACACAACACAUUCAGAUUGCUAAUGGCAGUACACUCCCAAUUACUGCUAUUGGUGAUAUUGGGUCCUCCUUUGAUAAUGUUUUUGUAUCUCCGGGAUUAUCUACUAACUUGAUUUCGGUUGGUCAAUUAGUUGAUGAUAACUGUGAUGUGCAUUUCUCUCGUGCUGGUUAUCUUGUGCAGGAUCAGGGAUCGGGGAAGGUGAUCGCGAAGGGGCCGAAAAUCAGAAGAUUGUUUCCAUUACUAUUUAAUAUUUCUACUGCUUUAUCUUUAGCCUGUAUUGAUGUCAGACUUAAGCAUGAACUUUAGCAUGAAAGGCUAGGACAUCCGAAUACUCUAAUUUUGUCUCAUUUGUUGAAGUGUGUUUUUUUUGGGGUAAUAAAGAUCAAUCUCAGUUUUCUAAUUUAUCUUUCAAUUGCGAUGCUUGUAAACUUGGGAAAAGUAAAAUUCUUCCAUUUCCAACUCAUGGUAGCCGUGCUAAUAAAUGCUUUGAAAUUAUUCAUAGUGACGUUUGGGGUGUGGCACCCGUCACUUCACAUGACCGUUAUAAGUAUUUUGUGACAUUUAUUGACGAUUUCAGUCGUUAUACUUGGAUAUAUUUUCUCCGUUCUAAAAGUGAUUUCGGUGCCAUUCUUCAGAAUUUUCUCACUUACAUUGAGACACAGUUUUCUUCUACUAUUCGAAUUCUGAGGUCCGAUAAUGGAGGUGAAUAUAUGUCUCAUCAGUGCCAGACAUUGUUACAACAAAAAGGCAUUCUUUGUCAACGCUCUUAUCCAUAUACGCCUCAGCAAAAUGGAGUGGCGGAGAGAAAGAAUCGUCAUUUGUUCGAUGUUGUUAGAGUUUUGCUCUUGAAAUCUUCGGUCCCACCUAAAUUUUAGGUUGAAGCCUUCUCCAUAGUUGUACAUCUGAUUAAUCGACUUCCUGCUCGGCAUAUGAGUUUUGACUCACCUUAUUUUCGCCUGUAUGGCUGUCAUCCUAGCUAUGAGAUGUUGCAUACUUUUGGUUGUGUCUGUUUUGUUCAUUUGCCUACACAUGAAUGUCAUAAGCUUGCUUCUCAAUCUGUAUGGUGUGCUUUCAUGGGUUAUAGUAUUCCUCAGAAAAGUUUUAUUUGUUAUGACGGUGUUGCUAAUCGAUUCCGUAUCUCUCGCAAUGUGGUUUUCUUUGAGAAUCAGCAUUACUUUCCACAACAUGUGUCAUCUUCAGAUUUGGCUCAGCUCAUUAGCUUUAAGGAUAUAUCUUGCCCUAUCAAGGGUUUCAAAAUAGGUAUGAUAUAUCAGAGAUGACGGCCCCCAGCUUCACUGCCCCUUCCUGAUCCCGAUCCCGAUCUUGAUCCUAUUCCAGAUUCUGACACUCUUCGACGAUCUACCCGUGUUACUCAUCCUCCUGAUCGGUAUGGUUUCUCUGCAACCUUAUCUCAUUUCACAGUUCCUAAUUCUUAUUCUCAGGCUGUUACUCAACCACGUUGGGAAAAGGCUAUGCAAGAAGAACGUCAAGCACUUCAAGAGAAUCACACAUGGGAUAUUGUCCCUUAUCCCUCUGGUAUCAAACCUAUUGGGUGUAAAUGGAUAUACUCUGUUAAGUUCCGCUCUGAUGGAUCACUAGAUCGAUAUUAAGCUCAACUAGUGGCUCUUGGCAAUCAUCAAGAAUAUGGAGUAGAUUAUGAAGAGACUUUUGCCCCUGUAGCCAAAAUGACUACGAUUCGCAGCGUCAUUGCUAUAGCUGCCUCCAAGGGAUGGUCUUUACGGCAGUUGGAUGUUAAGAAUGCUUUCUUACAUGGUGACAUUGAGGAGGAGAUUUAUAUGACGCCACCUCCGGGUCUCUUCUCGCUGCCCUCUUCUGAUGUUCGUAAGCUAAAACGCUCGCUUUAUGGGUUAAAACAGGCUCCUCGCGCUUAGUUCGGCGAAUUUCGUUCUACUCUCCUUGGUUUCUCAUUCACUCAAAGUCAAUAUGAUUCGUCUCUCUUUAUUUCCAACACCAAGGCAAGUAUGGUGCUUCUUCUUGUCUAUAUGGAUGAUAUAGUUAUUACGGGGACUGACUCUGCAUUGAUAUCUCAUCUUCAAGAACGUCUUAACGACUUUUUUCAUAUGAAGGAUUUGGCUCCUUUACAUUAUUUCUUAGAUCUUGAGGUUCAUUCGAGUCCAGCUAGGACUUACCUACAUCAAUAUAAGUAUACAAAGGAGCUGAUUAACCUAGCUGGACUUCAGGAUGGUUGAUUUGUUGAUACUCCUUUAGAGGUGAAUGUGAAAUAUUGCAAGGAGGAGGGUGAUCUUUUUCCUGAUCCCUCAUUAUAUCAACAAUUGGUGGGUAGUUUAAAUUACCUCACUAUUACACGACAAGAUAUCUCAUUCGCUGUCCAGUAAGUUUGCUAAUUUAUGCAUGCCCCACGACACCUCCACUUAGCCGCAGUUCGUCGCAUUAUUCGAUACUUGUUGGGUACACCUAAUAGGGGUCUUUUCUUUCUUGUAAACUCUCCUCUUGAUCUAGUUGGUUAUAGUGAUGUCGAUUGGGUCGGAUGUGCAGAUGCUCGUCGGUCAAUUACAGGAUGGUGUAUGUUUCUUGGGAGGGCGCUCGUUUCAUGUCGAAGUAAGAAACAAGAUCGUAUCUCUAAAUCCUCUACCAAGUCUGAGUAUCGUGCUAUGUCUUUUGCUUGCUCUGAGAUUGUUUAGCUUCAAGGUCUUCUAGCGGAGCUUGGCUGUCCACAGUUUAUACCUACUCCUCUCUAUGCUGAUAACACUAGUGCCAUUCAAAUUGCUGUUAAUCCUGUGUUUCAUGAAUGCACUAAGCACGUUGAAGUGGAUUGUCACUUUAUACGAGAGGCUUAUGAUGGUCGUUUGAUUACUCUUUCACAUGUCAUAACUGAUGUUCAAAUUGCUGAUUUGUUUACCAAGGCGAUGACUCGACAACGACAUCAGUUUCUUGUCAGCAAAUUGAUGUUUCUUGAUCAUUCAGCAUCAAUUUGAGGGGGGAUGUUAACGGAAAGAAGGAUUACAUUACCAUCUUUAUGUGAUUGUAUUUUGGAAUAAUUGUAUAUUACUAUAUUAGGUCAAUUACUUACCAUAGAUAAAUAUAUAUUUCAAUUUCUAUAUAAUGGGAGAAUCCUGAAAAGGGACGAUAUUCAGCCUUUGAAAGUUAACAUGAGCGACCGAGUAAAUGUUAGUGAUUUUUUCUAAUAAAAUUACAGGUAAACAGUUGUGAUAUGAUCCGAGAUAGACUGCAAAUUAUCACAAAUUUGUUGAACGUUGACGAGAGGCUAAGGGCGGUGUUUGAGCUUGAUUGGAGCCUACAAGACCAAGAAUCGAGCUAUGGAGUAUGAAAUGUGGAAGUUAACAAGUCAUAGUCCAAGAUUGAUGUUGAGGUCGAAGGCCGAAAUGAGUUGGAGCAAGUUGGUGUUAGGAAUUUACUUAAUUAUGCAUAGCGAAAAAUAAAACAAAUUUCAAUUCUCACCAAAGAUCUGUUUUGUGUUUAGAUAAAAAUUGUUAUAAAAAUUGUACAUUUCUUUAAUUCUGCAAACUCCUUUGUUAUUCUUUUUUUUCAACAAUCUUGAUCUGCCAUCCACAGCUGUCUAAUUGUCCAGCCUCUAAUAGAAAUCCACACAGAGAACAAGAUUGAGAGAAAAUCAGGAUAGCUGUGGUUGAUACAGUAAGGAGGUCAGAAUAUUGUUAGAAUCAAUAAUGUCUGACGUACUGUAAGUCAAUAUCUUCUAUAGUGGAUCUCUACUGGCUUGUGCCCGGAGUUUUUACCCAGUUGGGUUUUCUCCGUCAACAUUUUGUUGUGUUUUUACUGCUUUCUGUUAUUUAUUUUUCAACCGGUAAUUCAACUUAGGUAGAUAAAGUAUGUGAAUGAAUCUAGGCAAUGCAUAAUUGAUGUGACUUGUUGCAUCAGUUAAUUGUUUUAAUUCCACAUAAACACCUAUUCACCCCCCCCUCUAGGUGUUGGUUGGGUCGAACUAUUGCUUUUUCAAGUGGUAUCAGAGCUAAAUCUCGAGUCUUGACCCAUAGUUGUCUAGAUGAGUCAAUCACUUUUUGUACCUUCGUAUUUUGACGGAAGUAAUUAUGCCUAUUGGAAUGUNUGCACGUCCCCCUAGCUUCUUCUCACUCCGCAAUAGCAACUAAGCCCUGCAAUUUAUGGUCUCAACAGGAGUGCUUGCCACUAGAACAAGUUUUUGACCAACUAAAAAGUCACGAGCAAGACUAUCAUUGGAAGAUGCGGAGAUAUGCUUAAAAAUAUUUGGCCCAAACAAGCUUGAAGAGAAUCCCGUGAGUUCUUGUAUGAGAAAAAAUAAAAAUUGAGACACCAUCUGUCAAAGCAAGAGUGCAGGAUUCCACCCUCAUUCAUAUUUGUCUAAAUUUUUUUUUACUGAAACUGGAAGAUAAAGAAUAGAUUUCAUAUCUGUAAAAAAAGGUAGUGCAGC
rnacentral:lncRNA from 1 species